rnacentral:rRNA from 1 species
AGUGAACGCUGGCGGUAGGCCUAACACAUGCAAGUCGAACGGCAGCACAGUAAGAGCUUGCUCUUACGGGUGGCGAGUGGCGGACGGGUGAGGAAUACAUCGGAAUCUACUUUUUCGUGGGGGAUAACGUAGGGGAACUUACGCUAAUACCGCAUACGACCUACGGGUGAAAGCAGGGGAUCUUCGGACCUUGGGCGAUUGAAUGAGCCGAUGUCGGAUUAGCUAGUUGGCGGGGUAAAGGCCCACCAAGGCGACGAUCCGUAGCUGGUCUGAGAGGAUGAUCAGCCACACUGGAACUGAGACACGGUCCAGACUCCUACGGGAGGCAGCAGUGGGGAAUAUUGGACAAUGGGCGCAAGCCUGAUCCAGCCAUACCGCGUGGGUGAAGAAGGCCUUCGGGUUGUAAAGCCCUUUUGUUGGGAAAGAAAAGCAGCAGGUUAAUACCCCGCUGUUCUGACGGUACCCAAAGAAUAAGCACCGGCUAACUUCGUG